rnacentral:misc_RNA from 1 species
ACUGAUGAUAAUGGAACAUCAGCUACAAGCUGAGCCACUGCACCUGCUGCACCCAGUCUACUCAUGCUCAAAACCUUCACUUGGAGCCUUAGAAACUUCACAUAAUCCACAAUUUCAUCAAGCAUGGCUGCUCUAUCUGUCUUGUUGGCAGUAGGAACUAACUCCUGCAAAGCCUUCAUUCUCUCUGCAAUCCUCUCCCUACGUAACCGCUCAGCAAUACUGUGAGGAUCUGUUGCUUGUCCUCGUCUUGCUCGCACCCUUGGGCGAAUGGCAGGUGGCUGUGAUACAGCAGAAACUGCUCCUGGUGUUGGCUGACCAUGAAAUGGCUGGUGGUGCGGUGAUAGACCAGGUGGCGGAGUUGGUGGUGGUGGUGGUGGUGUAGGGCGGAUUGACUGGGUUUGCAACUGUCCAAACGUUGGGAACAAACUUGCCAUGUGCACAGAAUCUCUUUCAUUGAUUCCAGAAGCUGUACAAGAAGAAGAAGCAUUAUUAUUGGCAUGAUUGAUGUUUUCUAAAGCACCACCACCAUUUUCUUGUUGCCUCAAGAAUCCAUGAUGUUCUAAGUUCAACCCUAAAGGCAUCAUUCCCAUAUUAUUAG